AGAGCCCCUUGAGGCUGCAGCUUUAAGUUACAUCCUACCUUGUACUGUCUCCCCGGUGUGUUGGUUGAGUCUUAUCCCAAGUGACGCCUGGUCUCAGGUGUGUUGUGGGGAUUUAGGGAAGCACUUGGAGCAGCUCCACAAGGAGGUAUCACGGGGAGAACGGGGCCUUCCUCCUCUCCCAGGACUCUGGUGCCAGGGUGGGUCCCAGCAGUGAGCUGAACGGUCGUGGUCGUGGUCAGCAGGGGUGGGUGUGGGUGUGAGGAUGAACCAAGCUGACAAGGGAGCCUGCCUUCGAGCACGUGUAGACGCUUGUCUCGAGAACUCCGCGAAGUAUCCGGGGGCCUUGGAGACAUGCUUGUAUCUGGAAAUCAGAAUGGCAGGGGACUUAUCAUCUGGGCCUAAGAACUGAAUGUUCCCAUCUGGGACCUGCGGGCUUCCAGCACCUGUGCAUCGCUUGCUGGAACCCUGCUUUCUGAUGGGCUUGAAAGACGCAGCCAGAGGCUUCAUUUCCUCCUGCUGCUGUUACUUAUUUUCCUUCACCAGGAAUAAGGUCUCAGCAAAUUGAUGAAUUGAUCAUUCCCAACACUGUAAUUUUAGCAGCUCCAGCAGAGCUUGAGGAAAAAUAAUCAAACAGCAUGUCAUUUUGAUAGUUCUUUACCCCAGGCCCUUGGUAAGCUUUUCCCUGUCUAAUCUCCUUCCUCUGAUUUUAUUUUUCUCUGUAGAGCUUCUCUGGUCAAUUAUGUAUCUUGUUUCUUGGCUGUUUUCUCUUCUAGACCAUAAGUUCCAUGAGGACAGGGAUUUUUUGUCGUUUUAUUCACUGAUUUCAUUUAUUGUUUUAUUUACUGAAUGCCUAGAACAGCGUCUGGCACAUCAUGAGUGCUCCACACGUAUUUGUUGAAUGAAUGAACUAAUCAAACUGUCCUAUUUUCUGCAAACAGAUGUUCAGCAUUUGAUAAUUUCAGAAACAGUUGCAUUUAACUUCUUGGAAGACCAGCUAAUUCUCCAUUGUUUGUGCUAUUGGAGAGCUGUAGCAGUCAAACACAAAAUUAUCCUCCAGGUCCCAGCUUCUCAAGGUGUGGUCUUCGGGCUGGCAGGCUGGGCAUCCCCGAAGCUGGUUCAAAAUGCAGAAGCUCAGGUCCACCUCAGACUGCCUGAAUCAGAGGCUUAUUGUAACAAUAUCUGCGGGUAAUCCGUGUGCUGCUAAGGCUGGAAAAGGCCUGCUCUAGGUGACACGACACUAUUCAUCCUUGUGUGCCUGUCAUAUUUCCUGAAAACAUAUGAUCCCAUCUCUGGAGUAGGAUCAGCAUUAAGAUUGCAAAACUUUAAUGAAUUCUAUCUUAAGAGCAUCAUAUGUAGCAAUAGUAGAAUUCCCUGAAGCUGAAAUGGUCCAGGACUCUUGAAUGACCAUCAUCUCCC